rnacentral:rRNA from 1 species
AAUUAACGUUGGCGGCGUGCCUAACACAUGCAAGUCGAGCGUGAAAGUCCUUCGGGAUGAGUAAAGCGGCGAACGGUUGAGUAACACGUGAGAAUUUACCCUUCAGUGAAGAAUACCCUCGAGAAAUCGAGGUUAAUGCUGCAUACGUCCCUCCGGGGAGAAAGGCGGCCUCUUUGCUGUCGCUGAAGGAUAAGCUUGCGGCCUAUCAGCUUGUUGGUGAGGUAAUGGCUCACCAAGGCUAUAACGGGUAGCCGGCCUGAGAGGGCGAUCGGCCAGACUGGAACUUAGACACGGUCCAGACUCCUACGGGAGGCAGCAGUGGGGAAUCUUGCGCAAUGGGCGAAAGCCUGACGCAGCGACGCCGCGUGAAGGAUGAAGGCCUUCGGGUUGUAAACUUCUGUUAAGUGGGAAGAAAUGCUCAUGAAUAAUACGCAUGAGAGAUGACGGUACCAUUAGAGAAAGCACCGGCUAAACUCGUGCCAGCAGCCGCCGUAACAC